rnacentral:tRNA from 1 species
GCGCCAGUGGCACAAUGGUUAAGCAUUCAGCUGCUAACCAAAAGGCUGGUGGUUCAAACCCACUCAGCUGUU